rnacentral:rRNA from 1 species
GUCUUUGAACGCAAGUUGCGCCCGAAGCUUCGGCUGAGGGCACGUUUGCCUGGGUGUCACACAUGGCGUUGCCCCUAACCCCUCGCCUUGAAUUGGGCGGGCGGGACUUGGGUGCGUACGUUGGCCUCCCGAGAUGACCUUAUCCCGGUUGGCCCAAAAUCGAGCGUUGGAGCGAUUAGCACCACGACAUUCGGUGGUUGAUGAGACCCCAAUGAUCAAUGUCGUGCGUGUCGCUCAUGCACAUGCUCCACGAAUCUACCUUUCACCAACGCGACCCCAGGUCAAGCGGGGCUACCCGCUGAGUUUAAGCAUAUCAAUAAGCGGAGGAAAAGAAACUAACAAGGAUUCCCCUAGUAACGGCGAGCGAACCGGGAAGAGCCC